rnacentral:rRNA from 1 species
CGCAAGCCCGACGGAGCAACGCCGCGUGAGGGAUGAAGGCCUCUGGGCUGUAAACCUCUUUUAUCAAGGAAGAAGAUCUGACAGUACUUGAUGAAUAAGCCACGGCUAAUUCCGUGCCAGCAGCCGCGGUAAUACGGGAGUGGCAAGCGUUAUCCGGAAUUAUUGGGCGUAAAGCGUCCGCAGGCGGCUCUUCAAGUCUGCUGUUAAAAAGUGGAGCUUAACUCCACCAUGGCAGUGGAAACUGUUGAGCUUGAGUGUGGUAGGGGCAGAGGGAAUUCCCGGUGUU